CAUUUUGGAGACUUGAAAACCUCAGCUUCACAGGAGUAGGGGUUAUUUGAUUCAUCGUACCUGCAUUUCCAGCUCCUACUAUGAAAAAUAAGAAGCUCACACUACGCAUACAGCAUUUUGCAUCGCUCCUUUAUCACCAUCAUGGACACCCUCUCAGGCUAAUUUGUAAAAUGAAUUUCACUGAAUGCCGUCUAAUCUUAUUGCCAUAGUGACAACCCAAGAAAUCGAAGAUCGCAGUGCCGAGCUGAAAAUAGCUCAGUUGAUACCAGGAAGAGGACUCAUUCUCAUGCAAAGCUCCAUCCUCCAAUAGGGUCCCUUGUUCAAGGAACAAUAGAAAGUUUGAUCGGGGAUACACAACCUUCCAUGCCUUUUCAUUCUCAGAUGAUACAGGGCUGAAUGAAAUGUGUAAAAACUAAGCGGAAGCUUCUGCUCUUCAACUGAUGCUUAGCUUGCGUGUUAUUGUCACAGUCAGCUCAGGGAAUAUCUGCUUUGUCUUUUCACAGCAGUGCUGGGGAUUGUGACUGCCUUCAGAUUACAAAGCUCAAAUCCUUUCUGGGGCUUCAAAAAUCUUGGGCCUGCUUAAACCAUCCGUGCAAGUGAUGAUAACCAAAAUCCCUCCUAUGUGUAUUUAGACAUAUACCUGCAGGAAUUAAUUUUGUAUUAAACAUAUUUUUAUCAAU
rnacentral:lncRNA from 1 species